rnacentral:rRNA from 1 species
CGGGACGCACCAGCAGUGGGGAAUUUUGGACAAUGGGGGAAACCCUGAUCCAGCCAUCCCGCGUGAGUGAAGAAGGCCUUCGGGUUGUAAAGCUCUUUCGAAAGUGAAGAAAACUUAUUUCGUAAUAUGUUAUAGGUAUGACGGUAACUUUAGAAGAAGCACCGGCUAACUACGUGCCAGCAGCCGCGGUAAUACGUAGGGUGCGAGCGUUAAUCGGAAUUACUGGGCGUAAAGCGUGCGCAGGCGGUUUUGUAAGUCAGAUGUGAAAUCCCCGAGCUUAACUUGGGAACUGCGUUUGAAACUACAAGACUAGAGUGUGUCAGAGGGGGGUAGAAUUCCACGUGUAGCAGUGAAAUGCGUAGAGAUGUGGAGGAAUACCAAUGGCGAAGGCAGCCCCCUGGGAUAACACUGACGCUCAUGCACGAAAGCGUGGGGAGCGAACAGGAUUAGAUACCCCAGUAGUC